rnacentral:misc_RNA from 1 species
UCCGGUUUAGUACCGGCAGUCGCGCUAGACAUAGUAACUAGCGCCGAGGGUUGCGCUCGUUGCGGGACUUAACCCAACACCUCACGGCACGAGCUGACGACAGCCAUGCAGCAUCUGUGCCGGUUCCCGCCUUUACGGGUCGUCCCCCUUUCGGGGUUCUACUUCCGGCAUGUCAAGCCUAGGUGAGGUUCUUCGCGUUGCAUCGAAUUAAACCACACGCUCCGCUGCUUGUGCGGGCCCCCGUCAAUUCC